rnacentral:rRNA from 1 species
GGGCCCGCACAAGCGGUGGAGUAUGUGGUUUAAUUCGAUGCAACGCGAAGAACCUUACCAGGGUUUGACAUCCUGCGAAUCUCUUGGAAACGAGAGAGUGCCUUCGGGAGCGCAGUGACAGGUGGUGCAUGGCUGUCGUCAGCUCGUGUCGUGAGAUGUUGGGUUAAGUCCCGCAACGAGCGCAACCCACGUCUUUAGUUGCCAGCAUUUAGUUGGGCACUCUAGAGAGACCGCCGGUGAUAAACCGGAGGAAGGUGUGGAUGACGUCAAGUCAUCAUGCCCCUUACAUCCUGGGCUACACACGUGCUACAAUGGCGCAUACAGAGGGCGGCCAACUUGCGAAAGUGAG